UAUGGCCUACGGGAGGCAGCAGUGAGGAAUAUUGGCCAAUGGGCGGGAGCCUGAACCAGCCAAGCCGCGUGAGGGAAGAAGGUACAGCGUAUCGUAAACCUCUUUUGUCAGGGAACAAAGGCGGGGACUAGUCCCCGGAUGAGGGUACCUGAAGAGAAAGCCACGGCUAACUACGUGCCAGCAGCCGCGGUAAUACGUAGGUGGCAAGCGUUAUCCGGAAUUAUUGGGCGUAAAGAGCGCGCAGGUGGUUAAUUAAGUCUGAUGUGAAAGCCCACGGCUUAACCGUGGAGGGUCAUUGGAAACUG
rnacentral:rRNA from 1 species